UUAAAGGGUCCGUAGGCGGGGUUUUAAGUCAGUGGUGAAAGCCUACAGCUCAACUGUAGAACUGCCAUUGAAACUGGAACUCUUGAAUGUGAUUGAAGUGGGCGGAAUAUGUCAUGUAGCGGUGAAAUGCUUAGAUAUGACAUAGAACACCGAUAGCGAAGGCAGCUCACUAAGUCAUGAUUGACGCUGAUGGACGAAAGCGUGGGGAGCGAACAGGAUUAGAUACCCUGGUAGUCCACGCCGUAAACGAUGAUCACUAGCUAUUGGCGAUACACAGUCAGUGGCACAGCGAAAGUG
rnacentral:rRNA from 1 species